rnacentral:rRNA from 1 species
UACGUAGGGUGCGAGCGUUGUCCGGAAUUAUUGGGCGUAAAGAGCUUGUAGGCGGCUUGUCGCGUCUGCUGUGAAAAUCCGAGGCUCAACCUCGGACUUGCAGUGGGUACGGGCAGGCUAGAGUGUGGUAGGGGAGACUGGAAUUCCUGGUGUAGCGGUGAAAUGCGCAGAUAUCAGGAGGAACACCGAUGGCGAAGGCAGGUCUCUGGGCC